UGGGUAACCCACCCCGAUGACCGGGACAACCCGAGGAAACUCGGGCUAAUACCGGAUGAGUUCGUCUCCCUUGAGGGAGACGAGGAAAGAUAGCUUCGGCCUUCGCAUCGGGACGGGCCCGCGGCGCAUUAGCUUGUUGGUGGGGUAACGGCCUACCAAGGCGACGAUGCGUAGCUGGUCUGAGAGGACGAUCAGCCACACUGGGACUGAGACACGGCCCAGACUCCUACGGGAGGCAG
rnacentral:rRNA from 1 species